rnacentral:rRNA from 1 species
AUUGAACGCUGGCGGCAGGCCUAACACAUGCAAGUCGAGCGGUAGAGAGGUGCUUGCACCUCUUGAGAGCGGCGGACGGGUGAGUAAUGCCUAGGAAUCUGCCUGGUAGUGGGGGAUAACGCUCGGAAACGGACGCCAAUACCGCAUACGUCCUACGGGAGAAAGCAGGGGACCUUCGGGCCUUGCGCUAUCAGAUGAGCCUAGGUCGGAUUAGCUAGUUGGUGAGGUAAUGGCUCACCAAGGCGACGAUCCGUAACUGGUCUGAGAGGAUGAUCAGUCACACUGGAACUGAGACACGGUCCAGACUCCUAUGGGAGGCAGCAGUGGGGAAUAUUGGACAAUGGGCGAAAGCCUGAUCCAGCCAUGCCGCGUGUGUGAAGAAGGUCUUCGGAUUGUAAAGCACUUUAAGUUGGGAGGAAGGGUCGUUACCUAAUACGUGACGAUUUUGACGUUACCGACAGAAUAAGCACCGGCUAACUCUGUGCCAGCAGCCGCGGUAACAC